UCCGGCUUAACGCCGGCAGUCCCCCUAGAGUGCCCAACUUAAUGGUGGCAACUAAAGGCAAGGGUUGCGCUCGUUGCGGGACUUAACCCAACACCUCACGACACGAGCUGACGACAGCCAUGCAGCACCUGUGUCCAGGUUCCCUUUCGGGCACCGCUGCAUUUCUGCAGCGUUCCUGGCAUGUCAAGGGUAGGUAAGGUUUUUCGCGUUGCAUCGAAUUAAACCACAUCAUCCACCGCUUGUGCGGGCCCCCGUCAAUUCCUUUGAGUUUCAGUCUUGCGACCGUACUCCCCAGGCGGAAUGCUUAAAGCGUUAACUAAGGCACCGCAGGGGUCGAUACCCGCGACACCGAGCACCCAUCGUUUACAGCGUGGACUAC
rnacentral:misc_RNA from 1 species